rnacentral:rRNA from 1 species
UAAUACGAGGGUGCAAGCGUUAAUCGGAAUUACUGGGCGUAAAGCGCACGCAGGCGGUUUGUUAAGUCAGAUGUGAAAUCCCCGGGCUCAACCUGGGAACUGCAUUUGAAACUGGCAAGCUAGAGUCUCGUAGAGGGGGGUAGAAUUCCAGGUGUAGCGGUGAAAUGCGUAGAGAUCUGGAGGAAUACCGGUGGCGAAGGCGGCCCCCUGGACGAAGACUGACGCUCAGGUGCGAAAGCGUGGGGAGCAAACAGGAUUAGAUACCCUGGUAGUCCACGCUGUAAACGAUGUCGAUUUGGAGGUUGUGCCCUUGAGGCGUGGCUUCCGGAGCUAACGCGUUAAAUCGACCGCCUGGGGAUACGGCCGCAAGGUUA